AAGUCGUAACAAGGUUUCCGUAGGUGAACCUGCGGAAGGAUCAUUAAUGAGUUAGGGUCUUCGGGCCCGACCUCCAACCCUUUGUAGUUGAAAAACCCUUGUUGCUUUGGCGGGACUGUCCGACGCCCGUCUCACGACGGGCGCCGGCCGCCGGUCCUCGGCCCGUCGAGCGCCCGCCAGAGUCAAACCAAACUCUUGUUUCAAACAGUAUCGUCCGAGUAAAUUGAUAAAUCAAUUAAAACUUUCAACAACGGAUCUCUUGGUUCUG
rnacentral:misc_RNA from 1 species